rnacentral:rRNA from 1 species
AUUGAACGCUGGCGGCAUGCUUUACACAUGCAAGUCGAACGGCAGCGCGGGCUUCGGCCUGGCGGCGGAUGGCGAACGGGGGGGUAAUGCAUCGGAACGUGCCCAGGAGUGGGGGAGAGCACGGCGAAAGCCGGAUUAAUACCGCAUACGACCGGAGGGUGAGAGCGGGGGACCGAAAGGACUCGCGCUUUUGGCACGACCGGUGUCAGAUUCGCUGGUUGGUGGGGUAAGGGCUUACCAAGGCGACGAUCCGUAGCUGGUCUGAGAGGACGACCAGCCACACUGGGACUGGGCCACGGCCCAGACUCCUACGGGAGGCAGCAGUGGGGAAUUUUGGACAAUGGCGGCAGCCCUGAUCCAGCCCUGCCGCGUGCGGGAAGAAGGCCUUCGGGUGGUAAACCGCUUUUGUUCGGGAAGAAAUCCUCUGGGCUAAUACCCCGGGGGGAUGACGGUACCGGACGAAUAAGCACCGGCUAACUACGUG